CCUACGGGUGGCAGCAGUGAGGAAUAUUGGUCAAUGGACGAGAGUCUGAACCAGCCAAGUAGCGUGAAGGAUGACUGCCCUAUGGGUUGUAAACUUCUUUUAUAUGGGAAUAAAAUGUUCCACGUGUGGCUUUUUGUAUGUACCAUAUGAAUAAGUAUCGGCUAACUCCGUGCCAGCAGCCGCGGUAAUACGGAGGAUCCGAGCGUUAUCCGGAUUUAUUGGGUUUAAAGGGAGCGUAGGUGGAUUGUUAAGUCAGUUGUGAAAGUUUGCGGCUCAACCGUAAAAUUGCAGUUGAAACUGGCAGUCUUGAGUACAGUAGAGGUGGGCGGAAUUCGUGGUGUAGCGGUGAAAUGCUUAGAUAUCACGAAGAACUCCGAUUGCGAAGGCAGCUCACUGGACUGCAACUGACACUGAGGCUCGAAAGUGUGGGUAUCAAACAGGAUUAGAUACCCCGGUAGUC
rnacentral:rRNA from 1 species